UUGUAUUUAAAUCAGCAAUAAAUAUUUAGAUAAUUAGGAAAAGAGAAAAAUAUUUCUGAAGUUUACUGAUGUUUUUAAUAGUCUUGAAAUUUCCUUGACCUAGUAUAAUCAGGUCUAAUAUUAUUGUGGUAAGAUACAUGUAUGGAUGGCAUACCUGGAUGAUAUUUUGAAUAGAAAAUAUAAGAACAUCUAGUGUAAAAAAAAAAAGCAAAAUUAGAUAUCGAAUUAAAUGAUUUUGAAAUAAAUGUUAAUUUAAUUUAAUUACAUAUAAUAUUAAUACAUUUUUCUUUCAUUGAUAUUUGCAGUAUUCAAACAUGUUGGGGCAAUAUUGCAACCUGCAAUAAUGUAUUAAUUAAACAGUAUGUGCCUUUAUGUGUAUGUUAAAGGGUAAUAUAAUGACUACAUUCAUAGGGGAA
rnacentral:lncRNA from 1 species